rnacentral:rRNA from 1 species
CACGUAGGGGGCAAGCGUUGUCCGGAUUUAUUGGGCGUAAAGAGCUCGUAGGUGGUUCGGUAAGUCAGGUGUGAAACCUCCAGGCUCAACCUGGAGACGCCACUUGAUACUGCUGUGACUGGAGUCCGGUAGGGGAGCGUGGAAUUCCCGGUGUAGCAGUGAAAUGCGUAGAGAUCGGGAGGAACACCAGUGGCGAAGGCGGCCUUCUGGACCAGUACUGACGCUCAUGCACGAAAGCGUGGGGAGCAAACAGG